GAAGUCUUGUAUGGGUAUAUAUUGUUUCCAGAUGACAGUUAUAGAUUAACUUUUUGGAUCGAAAAGUACCAUAGAUCACAGCGAUUGUCCCAAGAGAGGAUUGAAGAUUAAUCCAGCGAACUUUGUGGUCCUACAGAGUGGACAAGAAGCAGAAGCAGGCAGGACCUGCCUAGAAGGGAUGGACCUUGUUCUAUUUUUUAUUUGCUGAGGAGACAGUAAAACCCACAUCAAGUCAGACAUGUCCUUGCAAGAAUGGUGUCAAAUGUAAGCCAGAUCCAGAAACUGGUGGGCUGGUGUGUUUGUGCUUGAAUAACUAUUAUGGGGAAUACUG